CCGCGAGUCUGAUCCAGCUAGAAGAGUUCGACGACUCGAUGGGACUGGACUUAAAUGGAAUCUCAUCAACAUCCGGAUUUUUUGGUGGGAGUUCGAGGACUCGAUGGGACUGGACUUAAAUGGAAUCUCAUCAACAUCCGGAUUUUUUGGUGGGGGUGGCGGCGUGGAUGCAAGGAUCGAACUGUAUCUACAGAGGGCGACGUAACCAGACAUUAACACCGGACCUUUCUGAAGCCACUACUACCCAUCCACACACACACACACAAAAUACAACUGCCCCAUGUCCAACUUGGUCAUUUCGCUGCCCGUGGGCCUGUUUGGAUACGAUUAUAAUCGGCUUUUGGGUGAGAAAAAUCGAGAAUCGAAAUUAAUCGCGCCAAACGGUCCGCGCUUACUUCGAUUUCCUCCGCCGCUGCUUCAGUUGGCCGGCCUCCUUUGCACGUAAAAUCGAAAAUCAGAAAACGCGGUCGCAAUCACGAUUCUGGAGGCCGCCGAUUCGCUGCGCGGCGAUUCCGC
rnacentral:lncRNA from 1 species